GGUGCUGCAUGGCUGUCGUCAGCUCGUGUUGUGAAAUGUUGGGUUAAGUCCGCAACGAGCGCAACCCUUAUCCUUUGUUGCCAGCACGUAAUGGUGGGAACUCAAAGGAGACUGCCGGUGAUAAACCGGAGGAAGGUGGGGAUGACGUCAAGUCAUCAUGGCCCUUACGAGUAGGGCUACACACGUGCUACAAUGGCGUAUACAAAGAGAAGCGACCUCGCGAGAGCAAGCGGACCUCAUAAAGUGCGUCGUAGUCCGGAUUGGAGUCUGCAACUCGACUCCAUGAAGUCGGAAUCGCUAGUAAUCGUAAAUCAGAAUGUUACGGUGAAUACGUUCCCGGGCCUUGUACACACCGCCCGUCACACCAUGGGAGUGGGUUGCAAAAGAAGUAGAUAGCUUAACCUUCGGGAGGGCGUUUACCACUUUGUGAUUCAUGACUGGGGUGAAGUCGUAACAAGGUAAGCGUAGUGCU
rnacentral:rRNA from 1 species